rnacentral:rRNA from 2 species
GGUAUUGAUUGGUGCUUGCAUCAUGAUUUACAUUUGAGUGAGUGGCGAACUGGUGAGUAACACGUGGGAAACCUGCCCAGAAGCGGGGGAUAACACCUGGAAACAGAUGCUAAUACCGCAUAACAACUUGGACCGCAUGGUCCGAGUUUGAAAGAUGGCUUCGGCUAUCACUUUUGGAUGGUCCCGCGGCGUAUUAGCUAGAUGGUGAGGUAACGGCUCACCAUGGCAAUGAUACGUAGCCGACCUGAGAGGGUAAUCGGCCACAUUGGGACUGAGACACGGCCCAAACUCCUACGGGAGGCAGCAGUAGGGAAUCUUCCACAAUGGACGAAAGUCUGAUGGAGCAACGCCGCGUGAGUGAAGAAGGGUUUCGGCUCGUAAAACUCUGUUGUUAAAGAAGAACAUAUCUGAGAGUAACUGUUCAGGUAUUGACGGUAUUUAACCAGAAAGCCACGGCUAACUACGUGCCAGCAGCCGCGGUAAUACGUAGGUGGCAAGCGUUGUCCGGAUUUAUUGGGCGUAAAGCGAGCGCAGGCGGUUUUUUAAGUCUGAUGUGAAAGCCUUCGGCUCAACCGAAGAAGUGCAUCGGAAACUGGGAAACUUGAGUGCAGAAGAGGACAGUGGAACUCCAUGUGUAGCGGUGAAAUGCGUAGAUAUAUGGAAGAACACCAGUGGCGAAGGCGGCUGUCUGGUCUGUAACUGACGCUGAGGCUCGAAAGUAUGGGUAGCAAACAGGAUUAGAUACCCUGGUAGUCCAUACCGUAAACGAUGAAUGCUAAGUGUUGGAGGGUUUCCGCCCUUCAGUGCUGCAGCUAACGCAUUAAGCAUUCCGCCUGGGGAGUACGGCCGCAAGGCUGAAACUCAAAGGAAUUGACGGGGGGCCCGCACAAGCGGUGGAGCAUGUGGUUUAAUUCGAAGCUACGCGAAGAACCUUACCAGGUCUUGACAUACUAUGCAAAUCUAAGAGAUUAGACGUUCCCUUCGGGGACAUGGAUACAGGUGGUGCAUGGUUGUCGUCAGCUCGUGUCGUGAGAUGUUGGGUUAAGUCCCGCAACGAGCGCAACCCUUAUUAUCAGUUGCCAGCAUUAAGUUGGGCACUCUGGUGAGACUGCCGGUGACAAACCGGAGGAAGGUGGGGAUGACGUCAAAUCAUCAUGCCCCUUAUGACCUGGGCUACACACGUGCUACAAUGGAUGGUACAACGAGUUGCGAACUCGCGAGAGUAAGCUAAUCUCUUAAAGCCAUUCUCAGUUCGGAUUGUAGGCUGCAACUCGCCUACAUGAAGUCGGAAUCGCUAGUAAUCGCGGAUCAGCAUGCCGCGGUGAAUACGUUCCCGGGCCUUGUACACA